CCCUGAACAUUGCCUCACACCAGCUAGUGUGGUCUGGUGGCUGUGUUCACAGGUCUGCUGAUGUAAGGAGAUGUAGAGCUGAGAGUACAAAUGGUUUGUGGACCUCUUACCAGGUAUGGCAGCUCAAAGGGACACGAGCCCACCACUUCAGAGCAAACUCCUACAGACAAAAGAAUGGGAAAGAAAUUAAUGCCUUGUUCUUUUAGAACGGGUCUCUCUUUGUUGGUGCUCUGCCAAGUCUUUUUGUGAGAAAUGAAUAUGGUGAGGUAACUUUGUACAAGUUUAGGUGCAGCCCAGACCAGCUACAGAGCUGACAGUGGUGUCUGCUCUCUUCCAGUGCUGGCACGUACGAUCAGCAAUACUUCUCUGGGCCAUAAUCUACAAAAUAAAACUGAAAAACUUUGAUUCUCUCUAUUUCAGUGAGUCAAGAAUCUGAAAAUUCUUCCAACUGAAGCUUAUCAGAACUUGAACAUUUUAUGCUGAUCACCUCAUCCAUAAGCUAACAAAAGGCUUAUCUGUGUCUUUUCCACUGUAACUGGCAGUCCUCCGUAGGCGCAUGUUCAGCAUUUCAAGACUAACUUAAAGGUCAAAUUUACCAUACAGGCAGAUUGGAUGAGCUCGUGGUUGAGGAAAGACCAUCUAAAGGUGGCUUGUCUAACAUCUGUACGCACACACACACACAUUCAGGGUUCACACACAUUUCUUUUUGGUCUAGCCUUGUCUCAGACAUGACCCAUGUGCCGAGUAUCAGGAUAAAGCUGUACUAGAAAUGUUAGAUGUGGGUUGAAUGUAAGUCUGACAAAAGAAAUGUUUGAAGAAAGAGAUGGAGCAGAAUUACAUUGUUCUGAUCCCUCGUAUUUGAAACCUGAGUUAUGACAAACUGCUGAAGUACUUUGUGUUUAAGCAGUUUUCUCCCAAAUUUUUGGUAGGCCAUUAUGGGAUGCAGACUCUCAUGCUGGAAAACAAUGACCAGUCCCUACAUCCUGGUUCUACAAACUGUCCCUCAAACAACCUGGUCCCUGGUCGUGUUCUUUAAACUUCUGUUCUAAUUGUGAGUUUUCAGCCCCUCUACCUUCCACCUGGCAGAAAAACCACAGGUGCUUCACCAGAGAGGAGGAAUUUGGAGACAGCAACUGCUUUUUCACCGAGACACUUCGAUAGCUAUUGGCUUGCUUGUGUGCAUUCCUAAAAGUAGGACUUGCGUGCGAUCUCCCCUCCCAGCUGUCCCUAUCCUCCUUCUGUGACCUUAAUCUUGUGCCACACUUGUGUCCCUGGUCCUCCUGCCACCUGCCCCACCCAGCCUUGGCGGGGUGCCCAUGGCUGUGGGGCCCUGGAGACCCAAAAGUUGGCAGUAGCCUUUGAGUGCUGGUUUGCCAGCCAGCCCAGCAGCCGGAGGACAGGUGUCUAGCAGCCAGCAAGGCCCAUGUACAGAAUGAGGACUGGCAGCACGUGCCAACACGAGAAACUGGGAGGGAAAAUCAGCCAGGGUAUACAGCCACGUAUGGUCCCAAUUCCUCUGCGAGAUGUAAGAUGUGCCUUGGCUCUGCGACAGUCACAGGACUUGUUAAAAGAGAUGCAAACCAAAGAAGACUGGCACAGCUUGUACUGUCUUAUCCAGUCUAGCUUCAUUCUGUCAGGGAACAUCAAUUAAAUCAGAUGAAGAAAUUAGGGAGCUUUUGUCUAGCUGGUGAGUUAAAUAAAUAUUGAUUAAAAUAAAAUGAUUGCUAAGCAGAUGAGUCAAAGUAA